rnacentral:lncRNA from 1 species
AUCCUUACCUUUCAGAGGAGUAGGGUUUCUUCAGAGGAGAAGAGGUUUCUUUUUCUUUGUUAAUAUUCAAUUGUUUUGAUCGAUGUUGUUUUCCGGAAGCGAAAUUCCUUCUUCGCUAGGCGAAUUUUGAUUUGUUUUUUUUUGUGCUUUCUCUCACCAAAUCAGAGUGGUUCUUUCACGUUGAUUAUGUUGUCUCUGAUUUGAUUGUGUAGAUAUUGAAUAAACUUCACCCUUUUAACUGGUUCUUCAAUUUUAAUUCCGUUUGAAAAUUUGAUCAAACAUCUUCUUUCAUUGUUCACUUAGAUCACUGUCUACGAGAUUCAGUAUUUCCUCCUUAUAGUAGCUGUUUCAGGCGUUGAGGUGAAGCAUCUCUGAUUGGAAGAUGAUCGGGUUUGUUGGAUUUUCUACGUUAUAUAUGGGGUAGAUUUAGAAGAGUUGGCAUUCCUGUAGCAGUCCAGCAAAGGGUCUUCCUCCAAGUUGAAUUUAGCCUCCUCUGCAUUCUAUUAUGAUUACACAAGACUGUUUUGAUUAACUUGUUGCGGCUGAAGUGGAAGGCAUCUUCAAGGGGUACAAGUUGGUCAGAAAAGAUGUUCCAAACCACGGUGGAGAAGAGAAGGUUGAUACAGAGGAGAUCAGGGCGGGGAGAUCAGGGCGGAGCAGCGCCGUCCAUCGGUGGACGAAGACUUCCGCUUUGCAUGAGUAACACGUGUCCUAACAUGUGCUUGUAGAACUUUUAGGUUAGAUGUGUGGGAAUGAUUCAGCAACCUUGGUUUUUAUCCAGGCUUGUUCAAUCUGAACUUGGUUUUAUCUAGGCUUGUUCAAUCUGAACUUCGUUAUGGUUUUAAUAUGUUUUUUUUUCAGAUUUUUGAUAUUUCCGUUUACGAAAAUUAGCUACCAUAUUGUAACUAUAUCUAAUUUAAUUUGGUUCGGUUUAUAUACCA